rnacentral:rRNA from 1 species
ACGCUCGACACCUACGGGAGCAGCAGUGGGGAAUAUUGCACAAUGGGGGAAACCCUGAUGCAGCGACGCCGCGUGAGCGAAGAAGUAUUUCGGUAUGUAAAGCUCUAUCAGCAGGGAAGAAAGUGACGGUACCUGACUAAGAAGCACCGGCUAAAUACGUGCCAGCAGCCACGGUAAUCUGAGCGGGCUGGCAAGGC